CCUGGUGGUUAUAGCGGAGGGGAAACACCCGUUCCCAUUCCGAACACGGAAGUUAAGCCCUCCAGCGCUGAUGGUACUGCCCAGUAGGGUGGGAGAGUAGGACGCUGCCAGGA
rnacentral:rRNA from 1 species